AGCCAUGCGUUGAGCACAGAGCGAACUAUUCUUUCACCUUUUACUAAAGAAUACCAUGUGCACAUCAUGGCAAAUGGCUUACGCACAUUUUUGGAGGGGCACACCUCUGUGGGUGUC